CAGCUUUGAUAUAUAUCAUCAGUACAAUCUCUUUUUUCAAUCAGGUUGUUUCAGGUAAUCUUUUGCCGCAUAGUCUGCCCUAGCUGACGCUGUGCAGAGAAUACUACGAUUGGAAACGGUUGGUUAGACCCGUUCGCACUGCACAAGGUGAUUUGGCGUUUAGAAUGUCUGAAAGCAAGAUGGACCGUAGUGAUGAGAGAAUCAAAAGAGCUUUAAGGCGCUGCCCUUAUGUGUUGAAUCCAGUGAGGGUGAACACCCCUGAUUCUGUGAUGUGGCCAACCGGUAAGGUGCACAGAAGACCAAGGCCUGUAAGUCAAAUCCGACCUGAAAACAAUUACACAUAAACCUUACUUAUGCUCCAUGUACAAACUGCAGUUAUCACAAUAAAAGCAACUGCAGAUAUCCCUCCCCAUCUAAACUCAUUUGAAAUUGAAUGCUGUCUUGACAGUCUACUUCAGCGCAGACCCCUCAGAUCCACAAAAGGCC
rnacentral:lncRNA from 1 species